GAUGAACGCUGGCGGCGUGCCGAAUACAUGCAAGUCGAGCGAACGGACGAGAAGCUUGCUUCUCUGAUGUUAGCGGCGGACGGGUGAGUAACACGUGGAUAACCUACCUAUAAGACUGGGAUAACUUCUGGAAACCGGAGCUAAUACCGGAGAAUAUUUUGAACCGGAUGGUUCAAAAGUGAAAGACGGUCUUGCUGUCAGUUAUAGAUGGAACCGCGCUGCAUUAGCUAGUUGGUAAGGUAACGGCUUACCAAGGCAACGAUGCAUAGCCGACCUGAGAGUGUGAUCGGCCACACUGGAACUGAUACACGGUCCAGACUCCUACGGGAGGCAGCAGUAGGGAAUCUUCCGCAAUGGUCGAAAGCCUGACGGAGCAACGCCGCGUGAGUGAUGAAGGUCUUCGGAUCGUAAAACUCUGUUAUUAGGGAAGAACAUAUGUGUAAGUAACUGUGCACAUCUUGACGGUACCUAAUCAGAAAGCCACGGCUAACUACGUG
rnacentral:rRNA from 1 species